rnacentral:rRNA from 1 species
ACGAACGCUGGCGGCGUGCUUAACACAUGCAAGUCGAACGGAAAGGCCCUGCUUUUGUGGGGUGCUCGAGUGGCGAACGGGUGAGUAACACGUGAGUAACCUGCCCUUGACUUUGGGAUAACUUCAGGAAACUGGGGCUAAUACCGGAUAGGAGCUCCUGCUGCAUGGUGGGGGUUGGAAAGUUUCGGCGGUUGGGGAUGGACUCGCGGCUUAUCAGCUUGUUGGUGGGGUAGUGGCUUACCAAGGCUUUGACGGGUAGCCGGCCUGAGAGGGUGACCGGCCACAUUGGGACUGAGAUACGGCCCAGACUCCUACGGGAGGCAGCAGUGGGGAAUAUUGCACAAUGGGCGGAAGCCUGAUGCAGCAACGCCGCGUGCGGGAUGACGGCCUUCGGGUUGUAAACCGCUUUCGCCUGUGACGAAGCGUGAGUGACGGUAAUGGGUAAAGAAGCACCGGCUAACUACGUGCCGGCAGCCGCGGUGAUACGUAGGGUGCGAGCGUUGUCCGGAUUUAUUGGGCGUAAAGGGCUCGUAGGUGGUUGAUCGCGUCGGAAGUGUAAUCUUGGGGCUUAACCCUGAGCGUGCUUUCGAUACGGGUUGACUUGAGGAAGGUAGGGGAGAAUGGAAUUCCUGGUGGAGCGGUGGAAUGCGCAGAUAUCAGGAGGAACACCAGUGGCGAAGGCGGUUCUCUGGGCCUUUCCUGACGCUGAGGAGCGAAAGCGUGGGGAGCGAACAGGCUUAGAUACCCUGGUAGUCCACGCUGUAAACGGUGGGUACUAGGUGUGGGGUCCAUUCCACGGGUUCCGUGCCGUAGCUAACGCUUUAAGUACCCCGCCUGGGGAGUACGGCCGCAAGGCUAAAACUCAAAGGAAUUGACGGGGCCCCGCACAAGCGGCGGAGCAUGCGGAUUAAUUCGAUGCAACGCGUAGAACCUUACCUGGGUUUGACAUGGAUCGGGAGUGCUCAGAGAUGGGUGUGCCUCUUUUGGGGUCGGUUCACAGGUGGUGCAUGGCUGUCGUCAGCUCGUGUCGUGAGAUGUUGGGUUAAGUCCCGCAACGAGCGCAACCCUUGUUCACUGUUGCCAGCACGUUAUGGUGGGGACUCAGUGGAGACCGCCGGGGUCAACUCGGAGGAAGGUGGGGAUGACGUCAAGUCAUCAUGCCCCUUAUGUCCAGGGCUUCACGCAUGCUACAAUGGCUGGUACAGAGAGUGGCGAGCCUGUGAGGGUGAGCGAAUCUCGGAAAGCCGGUCUCAGUUCGGAUUGGGGUCUGCAACUCGACCUCAUGAAGACGGAGUCGCUAGUAAUCGCAGAUCAGCAACGCUGCGGUGAAUACGUUCCCGGGGCUUGUACACACCGCCCGUCAAGUCAUGAAAGUUGGUAACACCCGAAGCCGGUGGCCUAACCGUUGUGGGGGAGCCGUCGAAGGUGGGACUGGUGAUUAGG